GAUGAACGCUGGCGGCGUGUCUAAUACAUGCAAGUCGAGCGAACAGACGAGGAGCUUGCUCCUCUGACGUUAGCGGCGGACGGUUUAGUAACACGUGGAUAACCUACCUAUAAGACUGGGAUAACUUCGGGAAACCGGAGCUAAUACCGGAUAAUAUAUUGAACCGCAUGGUUCAAUAGUGUAAGACGGUUUUGCUGUCACUUAUAGAUGGAUCCGCGCCGCAUUAGCUAGUUGGUAAGGUAACGGCUUACCAAGGCGACGAUGCGUAGCCGACCUGAGAGGGUGAUCGGCCAAACUGGAAAUGAGACACGGUCAAGACUCCUACGGGAGGCAGCAGUAGGGAAUCUUCCGCAAUGGGCGAAAGCUUGACGGAGCAACGCCGCGUGAGUGAUGAAGGUCUGCGGAUAGUAAAACUCUGUUAAUAGGGAAGAACAAAUGUGUAAGUAAAUAUGCACGACUUGACGGUACCUAAUCAGAAAGCCAAGGCUAACUACGUG
rnacentral:rRNA from 1 species